rnacentral:lncRNA from 1 species
CAAGGUGAAGCUGGUCAAGGUGGCGUCUCGUUUAUUGUUGUUAAUUUGUUAGUAAAUGUUAAUUUGUGGUCCUUCCUCCCUCCCUCGUGUGUACGGCUCCAAUUGGUUGUUACUGUAGUGUUCAGACAACUACCAUAUUGCUGCCUCGCUGAUCAUGGUUAAUGAAGUUCCUCGUGUCAUUCGUCGAGGAAGGUGACGUGAAGAUGUAAGAUAUGGGCCACAAGACGAAGGUUUGUUUUGGUUAACGGGUCUCUUGCUGCACCACAUUGGAAACCUUCUGUUAUAACCUAGGUUUACGGCUCCAAUUGGUUGUUACUGUAGUGUUCAGACAACUACCAUAUUGCUGCCUCGCUGAUCGUGGUUAAUGAAGUUCCUCGUGUCAUUCGUCGAGGAAGGUGACGUGAAGAUGUAAGAUAUGGGCCACAAGACGAAGGUUUGUUUUGGUUAACGGGUCUCUUGCUGCACCACAUUGGAAACUUUCUGUUAUAACCUAGGGUACAGUACAGUGUAUAUCUUUGUGGUUUUAGUUUUUAUUAAGGAUCUGGGAUCACAGUUUAAAAAUUCAAGUAAUUGUGUUAAAGACCUUUGAAAUAAUUAGAUAUUUUAAGUAGAUUACGCUGUGCCCGUAAGUUUUAAAAGGCCUUUAUGGAUGGUCUUAAAUAUGUUGACCAUCUUUACUGUAUGAAGUUAGUUUCACGUUGUCAAAAUAUUUGUCAAAUAUUCCUGACCUAAUACCUUUGUCUUCAGCACUUGGGGUAAAAAAAUAGUUUAAAUAUCCUACAAAGGUACAGGGUACUACUUUACCUGAUUUUAAAUCUGGGUUCACAAAUUAGUUAUUAUGUUAAUGACUUUUUGAAACAAUUAGAUAUUUAAAGUAGAUUACUUAGGCUUUGCCCGUAUUUUUUAAAAGGCCUUCAUGUACGUUUUAUAAAUAACAUAGACUAUUGGGGUGUCAACUGCAUGGAAAAGCCAGGAAACUUUACAAACAAAUGGGGUAAUUUAUUUGGGUUAAGUUAUACUUAAAUAUAGUUUUUUGGCAUCAAUCUUGGGAUUAAAUUAAUGCUGUACUGUAUAAUAGGUAAAUAAUUACUGUACUUUUAGGAACAUUCCACAGCAAUAAUGAUGAUAGUUCAAGUUAGUGAUCAAAUAUUACAGGUUAUACCUACUGCUGUGAGUAUUGUCCAGUGAAUUGUUCUUAUAAUGGACUUGUUCCACAUUAAUAAAGGUUCAAAUAGGUGGAUAGUGGAGUGUUGACCCACGUCAGGUUAAGGUUGUCACCAGGGAGGGGUCACUAACAUAUCCUCACUGGUCCCUCCAUUAACCGACACAAUUAGUUCCACAGAGUCGUUCGUUUACUGAUUCUAUAUACUGUAGUGUUAUAUAUUAAUAAAAUAUUAAUAAAUAAACUUAAAAUAGUUCAACACAAAAUGUUAUUGUUUAAAUUUAUUUUAGUAAAAUUGUGAAUGUUGUAAAGCUAUUCGGUUCUCCAGCCACUGACUUAAGUUUAGUUUAAUAUUAAUAUAUAUCUAUUAGGGGGAAUUUAAUCAACAAUAAAACAUUAUAAUUAAAGUAUAAUUUAUUUAUAUUAUGUAUCAUUUAUAAAUAAAAUGCUUUUAUUAUAGUAUUAAUAAUGAAAACUUGUAGUUACUGAAAGAUAAGAGAGAGAAUCGGACAAGGUGAAGCUGGUCGACAUCAACCAAGGUGGCCGUCUCGUUUAUUGUUGUUAAUUUUGUGAGUAAAUGUUAAUUUGUGGGCCUUCCUCCCUCCCUCGUGGUAAAGGUAAUAAAUGUUUUAUGUUGUGUCGUUGAUAUAAACAUACAUUAGAAUGUUUGAGUUAAAGGUUGGUUAAACGAGAUGGUCCGUGUUGGUAUUUGCUGGGCCGAGUUGGAGGCACAGCGGUCACACUAUAAUAACCCGUUAUAGUACAUCCUUCUUUACUCACACAGCCAAACUGUGUCUGUGUGGAUGUGGGUCACACUAUAAUA